UAAUACCUUCCCUAGCCAAGAUGGAAAUGUUAGGAAGGUUGAAAUAAAAAUCAGUUCUGGAGGUACAUGUAAGACCUUCUUGAGGCCAGUUACUGGAGUUGUUCUCCUUCUGAAGAACACCUGUAGCGAGGACACUAGUUAAACAUAAGGUGACAUCUUAUGAUGUCAGGCGGGGAGUGUGCUGGCAGUAAUUCUUCCCAGCCAGCAGGUGGUGGUGUUUUCAUGUUAAGUUUGUUAUUGAACAGUAGAAUCAGUUCAGAAUCACAUGUAUAAUGGCUGACAGAGGCAGUUUAUCAGUCUUCAUUUAAUCAUUCUUCAUCCUGUUUGUUGUUUAGAGAAAGCACUGCUUUUUCACUCUUUUGGCAAUUGAAAGCAACGUCAAUUAAAGGGACAUACGCCUGACAAUCGUCUGAGAGUUUAUCUAUCUGCACAACUGUUACUUGGAAACACAGUGGGGGCAGAACAGAGGCCGUCCCUCAGAUCACA